AACGCACCUUGCGCCCUUUGGCUAUUCCGAAGGGCAUGCCUGUUUGAGUAUCAUGAACACCUCAACCCUCAUGGCUUGCCAUGAUGGGCUUGGACUUUGGGGGUCUUGCUGGAUCAUAGUCAGCUCCCCUUAAAUAGAUCAGCUUUCCAGUGUUUGGUGGCAUCACAGGUGUGAUAACUAUCUACGCUUGUGGUUUUACAUCAGGUAACCUUCAGAGAUGGGGGUUCGCUGGGGCUCAUAAAGGUCUCUCCUCUGUGGGGACAGUUCUUUCGAAUGUUUGAUCUCAAAUCAGGUAGGACUACCCGCUGAACUUAA
rnacentral:misc_RNA from 1 species